AUGUGCCUCAGACUUCUCUGCUGUGUGGCCCUUUCUUUCUGGGGAGUAGGCUCCACGGACACCAAGGUCACCCAGAGACCUAGACUUCUGGUCAAAGCAAAUGAACAGAAAGCAAAGAUGGAUUGUGUUCCUAUAAAAGGACAUAGUUAUGUUUACUGGUAUCGUAAGAAGCUGGAGGAAGAGCUCAAGUUUUUGGUUUACUUGCAGAAUGAAGAAAUUAUUCAGAAAGCAGAAAUAAUCAAUGAGCGAUUUUCAGCCCAAUGCCCCAAAAACUCAUCCUGUACCUUGGAGAUCCAGUCCACGGAGUCAGGGGACACGGCACUGUAUUUCUGUGCUAGCAGCAAAGCCACAGUGCCGAAUGUUAGCCCUUCUUAG